rnacentral:rRNA from 1 species
UACGUAGGGUGCAAGCGUUAUCCGGAAUUAUUGGGCGUAAAGAGCUCGUAGGCGGUUUGUCGCGUCUGCUGUGAAAACUGGAGGCUCGACCUCCAGCCUGCAGUGGGUACGGGCAAACUAGAGUGCGGUAGGGGAGAUUGGAAUUCCUGGUGUAGCGGUGGAAUGCGCAGAUAUCAGGAGGAACACCGAUGGCGAAGGCAGAUCUCUGGGCCGUAACUGACGCUGAGGAGCGAAAGCGUGGGGAGCGAACAGG